AUUUGUUGGGUUUAUUAAUUGAU
rnacentral:piRNA from 1 species